rnacentral:rRNA from 1 species
UAAGUAGGGUGCAAGCGUUAAUCGGAAUUAUUGGGCGUAAAGUGUGCGUAGGCGGUUUUGUAAGUCUGACGUGAAAUCCCCGAGCUCAACCUGGGAAUUGCGUUGGAGACUGCAAGGCUAGAAUCUGGCAGAGGGGGGUAGAAUUCCACGUGUAGCAGUGAAAUGCGUAGAGAUGUGGAGGAACAACGAUGGCGAAGGCAGCCCCCUGGGUCAAGAUUUACGCU